rnacentral:rRNA from 1 species
GACGUAGGGUGCAAGCGUUGUCCGGAUUUAUUGGGCGUAAAGAGCUCGUAGGCGGCUUGUUGCGUCGACUGUGAAAACCCGCGGCUUAACCGCGGGCUUGCAGUUGAUACGGGCAGGCUAGAGUUCGGUAGGGGAGACUGGAAUUCCUGGUGUAGCGGUGAAAUGCGCAGAUAUCAGGAGGAACACCGGUGGCGAAGGCGGGUCUCUGGGCCGAUACUGACGCUGAGGCACGAAAGCGUGGGGAGCAAACAGG